UACGUAGGCAGCAAGCGUUGUUCGGAGUUACUGGGCGUAAAGAGUACGUAGGCGGUUUGCUAAGUCUGGUGUGAAAUCUCCUGGCUUAACUGGGAGGGUGCGCUAGAUACUGGCAGGCUUGAGUAUGGGAGAGGAGAGUGGAAUUCCUGGUGUAGCGGUGAAAUGCGUAGAUAUCAGGAGGAACGCCGGUGGUGUAGACGGCUCUCUGGACCAUUACUGACGCUGAGGUACGAAAGCGUGGGUAGCAAACAGGAUUAGAUACCCUGGUAGUCCACGCCCUAAACGAUGCGGACUUGGUGUAGGCAGUUCAGUCUGUCUGUGCCGGAGCUAACGCGUUAAGUCCGCCGCCUGGGGAGUACGGUCGCAAGGCUG
rnacentral:rRNA from 1 species